rfam:Equus caballus chromosome 2, whole genome shotgun sequence.
UUUUUAGUAUAAGUACGUCCCAUGCAAUAUUUGGGACAUACUUGUAUUAAAA